AUGGCAACAAUGCCGCCUACCUCCAUCGUCUUCUCUGCGAUAGUCUUCAUGCUCCUUUCCACUGCCACCGCUACUCAAGCCAAUGGCUCUGUCAGUGGCAAACCCAAGGCGGCACACCUCAUAGUGGAAGCAUGCAAGAACGCCUCCGACUACUGGCACAACAUCACAGAGGCAUUCUGUUUGUCAACCCUCCAGUCCGACAAUCGGAGUGCCAAGGCUAAGAACCUCCUUGACUUGGUGCUUGUCUCCAUUGAUAUCUUUAAGGGACAUGUCACUAAGGUUGGCGUUGAUGUCAAUAAAAUGCUGCAAAAUGCCAAGAAAGGCACAAUUAUGAUGCAUGCUCUCCGUUUUUGUGUGGUGGACUAUGAGACCGUGUUGAGCACCCUUAACAUCUGUGAAGCCAUCAUUAGGGAAUACCAAGCUGAAAAGCGUGGGAUGAAGUCCUCGAAUAUGCCCCAAUGUGUGGAUCUGGCAGAGCAUACUCUUAAUGAGUGCUUGUCUGAGCUUGCUGAUAUGCCAUGGGCGAAGGCGCUGAUCAAAGAAAAUGAGGAGCUGUGCAUGCUGGUCUACCUCAACACUAACUUGCUUGCACCAUAUAAUGUUCAUGAUUAA
rnacentral:rRNA from 1 species